UGCAGAAUCCCGCGAACCAUCGAGUCUUUGAACGCAAGUUGCGCCCGAGGCCAUUCGGCUGAGGGCACGCCUGCCUGGGCGUCACGCAAAACACGCUCCCACCCCCUCAUCGGGUAGCGGGACGCGGCAUGUGGCCCCCCGUAGCGCAAGCUGCGGUGGGCCGAAGAUAUGGCUGCCGGCGUAUCGUGCCGGACACAGCGCGUGGUGAGCGACCUCGCUUUACUUACCGCAGUGCAUCCGGGGCGUAGCCGACGUGAUGGCCUCUAAGGACCCUUUUAACGGUGCGCACGACGCUCCGACCGCGACCCCAGGUCAGGCGGGACUACCCGCUGAAUUUAAGCAUAUAAAUAAGCGGAGGAGAAGAAACUUACAAGGAUUCCCCUAGUAACGGCGAGCGAACCGGGAACAGCCCAGCUUGAGAAUCGGGCGGCCGUGCUGUCCGA
rnacentral:rRNA from 2 species